ACGUGCAACCCGCUCUCAUUUCAUAUAUCUUGUUGCAGGCGUGCAACCCUCUCCCAUUUCUUUUAUCAACACCAAUCAUAAAAGGGUCCCGGCAAGGGAAUAAUAAUAUCAAAACAAACAUCCCAGCAAGGGAACAAUAAUAUGACAAUAACAUCCUGGCAAGGGAAAUUAAUGAUAAUAAUGUCCCGGGAUGGGAACAAUAAUGAUAAUAACAUCCCGGCAAGGGAACAAUAAUGAUAAUAACAUGUGAAGCGCAAUAAACCACAACGGAGUCAUAACAAUUACAAUACAAGACUCACGGGCAUACUUGACACUGACAUAUAGAUACUCGUCACCAUGCCUAUACAUCGUACUCCGCUAUUAACACGUAGCAAAUAAGACACGACUCCUAAUCCCUCAAGCUAAGGUUACACCAAACACUUACCUCGAUGCCAUGAACACAAUUCAAUCCUCAACUAUCACUUUACCUCUUGAUUCCACCACCAACUCGCUUGUAUCUAGCCACAAGUUACUUAAUAAUAUUAAUAAGUACUAAAUGAAUCAUUUCUAAUGCAUGGAAAUAAGUUUUCUAAAUGUUUUCCCAAAAAGUCAAAAAUUUCCCCUGGUCCCACAUGGUCAAAAUCCGAUGUUCGAACCAAAACCCGAUUACCCAUUCCCCCACGAACUCAAAUAUAUAAUUUGUUUUGAAAUCGAACCUCAAAUCGAGGUCCAAAUCCCCCAUUUUUGAAAAAACUUAGGUUCUACCCAAAACACCCAAUUUCCCCCAUGAAAAUCAUUGAUUUUGAAUUGAAAUCAUGUGAAAAGAUGUUAAUGGUUGAAGAAAACGAGUUAAAAUUGACUUACAAUCGAUUUGGAAGAAGAGUUGUCAUUGAAAAAUCGCCCAAGAAUGUUUUGGUUUUGAAAGAGUGUGAAAAAUGAAAGAUUUUCGGCUAAGUUAUAAAAUUACAGGUUGCAGAUGUCGCAAUUGCGACUAGGCUUUGCAAUUGAGAACCCAGACUUCUGCUAAGCUCACAUUUGCGAGGCGACCUUCGCAUUUGCGAAGUCACUUUUGCGAACCACAUGUCGCAUUUGCGACGACUGACCAAAAGGGGGAAACAUCGCAUUUGCGAUAAAUUCCCCGCAAUUGCAAGGAAGGCUGGUCUGGGCUAUUUUCGCAUUUGCGACAUAGCCUUCGCAUUUAUGAGCCAGGCUUCGCAAAUGCGAAUCUUGCAGGCAUGCAAUGCAACAGUUGAAAUCUGCAACUCUCCAAGUCCAAAAUUCACCCUCACGGCCUAUCCAAAACUCACCCGAGCCCUCGGGGCUCCAAACCAAUCAUGCACACCAAUCUAAAAAUAUCAUACGGACUCGCCCGUGUAUUCAAAUCAUAAAAAUAACAUCAACAACUCUGAAUUUAGCAUCAAAAUUAUGAAAUUUUGUAAGAACAUCAAAUUUCCCAAUUUCGUCAAAUAAGGUCUGAUUCAUAUCAUUUCAAGUCCGUUUCCUACCAAAUUUCACAGGUUCGACUCAAAUCAUAUAUAAGACUUGUACCGGGCUCUAGAACAAAAAUACGAGCCUGAUAACAUCAAACUUUAAACACAUUUCACUUUCAAAAACUCAUAAAUAUUCCAGAAAAUAAUUUUCUUCAAAAAUUCAUUUCUCGGGCUUGGCACCUCAAAAUUCGAUUCUGGGCAUACACCCAAGUCCCAUAUUUUCCUACGGACCCUCCGGGACCGUCAAAUCACGGGUCCGAAUCCGUUUACCCAAAAUAUUGAUCGAAGUCAACUUAAACUCAUUUAUUAGGCAAAAUUCAUCAUUUUUCACAGAUUUUCAGAUAAUGGCUUUUCGGCUACGCACCCAGACUACGCACGCAAAUCGAGGUGAGAUAGAAAGAGGUUUUUAAGGCCUCUGAAUGCAAAAUUUAUUUUUAAAAUAAGUGAUGAACUUUUGGGUCAUCACACGAUGAUUUAAAAUUAAUUGCGCCUAAAGCAAGCUACGAUGUUCAUAAUUAUCUACUUCUAAGUCGGUGAUUUGAGCUUCUCAUAAGUUCUGUCACUAUGGUUAUGAGAUGGAUUGGCAAGAAAAAUGUUCAGUUACAUUAUCCGAAACCAAAGCAAUCAAGAUAAAGGCAUUCUGUUUUGAUAGACUCAGAUAAAUUGGUCUCUUUUCCUCGGCCAAGGUAAAGGUGUUACGAUCUGAAGUGACUGUAAUCUACUUUUGUUGGAUGAAGCAAACUUAUCAUCACUGACUACAACUUUCAUGGACAAUGAGAAAGAAAUGUUAAGAAUGAACUUCUACUUUGGAAUGAUGUAUUCUGUUAACUUUAUCAUCUAUGUUCUUAUAAGAGUUCCUUAUUUUUAGCAAAAUUUACAACAACCAAAAAAACAAAGUAAAAAUAAAAAUAAAAGAGCUUCAAGUUUUAGAGUAAAUACUAAACUAAAAUUUGAAUUAAUUAGUACACAAAUGACUACUUUCAAUGCCUAUGAAGUUUUAAUUGAGCUAGGCACUAAAAAAUUCUAAAUUCCAUACCAACAAUGAUGGUAUUUCACCUCCGAGCCAUAGAUCUGCUAGACCACCUCCAUAUAUAUAAGAAAUCCAUUAUAAGUUAACAAAUAAUCUAAACCUUAACAAAUACAUACUGCUCGUUCAAACCAUAGAAUUGCCUUUUCAUGAUUGUUUCUUAUUAUUACUCAAAUUUUCAGUAUGGUUUUAGAUAUUCACCACAUUGAACUUUAAAACCAAACCCAAGCUUGCAGUCAGAAAUGAAAGAGCACUCAGUACACAUGUCAAUGAACAGCAAUUGAGAUUUCAUAUCAAUAGGACAUCCAAAUAGCAAUUACAUCAAUUGAGACCAAAAGCACAUACCUUAACAGCAGUAGUGCAACUUAUAAUAGCCAAGUAAGGAAUAAAUUCAGCAAAUUGGGGUUCAGCUACGCACAGAACAACAAAAUCUACCAGCAAAUGAGACUCUUACAGCUCAAUUAAACUUCGAAGUUUCCAGAAAAUAUCCAGCUAAGGAACUGUGAGAGA
rnacentral:lncRNA from 1 species